UCGAGACCCAACCAUACCAGCGGCGCCGCAGGCUGACAAGGAGGCGGAGUAGAGUGGCUGGACUACCUCGACACCUCCACUGCAACCAUGGGUAUCUCACGUGAUUCGAUGCACAAGCGUCAGGCCACCAGUGGAAAGCAGAAGGCGUGGCGCAAGAAGCGAAAGUAUGAGCUUGGCCGCCAGCCUGCUAACACCAAACUGUCUAGCAAUAAGACAGUGAGGAGGGUCUAUGUCCGUGGAGGCUACGUGAAGUGGAGGGCUCUCCAAUUGGAUACAUGUAACUACUCGUGGGGAAGUGAGGCUCUUACCCGCAAGACUGGCAUCCUGGAUGUGGUCUAUAAUGCAUCAAACAAUGAGCUUGUGAGGACUCAGACUCUUGUGAAGAGUGCCAUUGUACAAGUUGAUGCUGCUCCAUUCAAGCAGUGGUACCUCACUCACUAUGGAGUGGACAUCGGUAGGAAGAAGAAGGUGAUUAUCGCUAAGAAGGAUGCGACUGAG